rfam:Papio anubis isolate 1X1155 chromosome 5, whole genome shotgun sequence.
AUAAAUAUAGUUUAAUCAAAACAUUAGAUUGUGAAUCUAAUCAUAGAGGUCCACUACUUCUUAUUUACC